rnacentral:tRNA from 2 species
GGAGGUGUGGCUGAGUGGUCGAAAGCACCGGUUUGCUAAAUCGGCGUAGGGGUCCCCCCUACCGCAGGUUCGAAUCCUGUCGCCUCCGC